GACGGAGGGUGCUAGCGUUGUUCGGAAUGACUGGGCGUAAAGGGCGCGUAGGCGGCUCGUGAAGUCGGGUGUGAAAGCCCGGGGCUCAACCCCGGAACGGCAUCCGAUACUGGCGGGCUUGAGACCGGGAGAGGAGGGUGGAAUUUACGGUGUAGCGGUGAAAUGCGUAGAUAUCGUAAGGAAGACCAGUGGCGAAGGCGGGUCUCUGGACAGUUCCUGACGCUGAGGCACGAAGGCCAGGGGAGCAAACGGG
rnacentral:rRNA from 1 species